rfam:Myotis davidii contig67594, whole genome shotgun sequence.
GGUGGUUCUCGGGUGGCAUACCCUAGAAUUGGGCUCCUUUCUCUCUGGUUCUGGGCACAUCACCUAAGAACCGCA